rnacentral:lncRNA from 1 species
GGGCCUUGGUUAAAACAGAUGAGCAAGAAGUAAUCAACUUUUUAUUGACAACAGAAAUCAUCCCUUUGUGUUUGCGCAUCAUGGAAUCUGGAAGUGAACUGUCUAAAACGGUUGCCACAUUCAUCCUCCAGAAGAUCCUCUUAGAUGACACUGGUCUGGCUUAUAUAUGUCAGACAUAUGAGCGUUUUUCCCAUGUUGCCAUGAUCUUGGGUAAAAUGGUCCUGCAGCUAUCCAAAGAACCAUCUGCCCGUCUGCUGAAGCAUGUAGUAAGAUGUUACCUUCGACUCUCAGAUAAUCCCAGGUAAAGAUUUAACAGGAUUCACAAGAUUUGGGAGAAAUAGUCUCAUGAAUGGAUUCUAAUGUUACGGCUCAGACCCUCUGUCUUGAGUAUUAGAACCCAUAUAACUUUAGUUUACCUAAGAAAAACUUAAGUUCCUGUUAAAAUCUAAAAUUCUGACUUUAAAGUGCACUAGUGGGCUGGAGAGAUGGUUCAGUGGUUAAGAGCCCUGACUGCUCUUCCAGAGGUCCUGAGUUCAAAUCCCAGCAACCACAUGGUGGCUCACAACCAUCUGUAAUAAGAUCCGAUGCCAUCUUCUGGUUUCUGAAGACAGUGACAGUGUACUCACAUCCAUAAAAUAAAUUAAACUUUGUUUAAAGUGCACUAGUUAGAUCUUCCUGUUGUAACUCUGUUCUACCCUGAAAUUCCCAAAAGCCCAAGCAAUUUCAAGGGAGGCUAGUGCGGUUUGGGCUUUCUAUGGCUACUCCAAGUACUCAGAGUACACUUUAAGGUCUCUGCAAAGUCCUGUAGCCUAGAGGCUUUUUUAGCUUGCAGUUCUCUGCUUCCUGUAAACUAUGGAGCUCAUUACUUUUUCUUGGUAGGUUCAAGAACUCUGCCACAGUCGUGUAC